rnacentral:rRNA from 1 species
GACGAACCGUGCGAACGUUGUUCGGAAUCAUCUUGGGUACGUUAAAGGGCGCGUGAGGCGGCAAAUCAAGUCCGGGGAUGAAAGCCCUCAGCUACAACUGGGGAAGUGCCUCGGAUACUGGCUUGCUGGAGGGAGGUAGGGGUCGAGGGAACGUUCUGGUGGAGCGGUGAAAUGACGUUGAUAUCAGAAGGAACGCCGGUG